CCCCGGCGCCACAAGUGGUCAUCACGAUUAUUGGGCCUAAAGCGUUCGUAGCCGGUUUGGUAAAUCUCUUGUGAAAUUGUUCGGCUUAACCGGACAGCGUGCAGGAGACACUGCCAGACUCGAGACCGGGAGGCGUCAGAAGUAUUCCAUGGGGACUGGUAAAAUGGGACAAUCCAUGGAAGACUACCGAUGGCGAAGGCAUCUGACGAGAACGGAUCUGACGGUGAGGAACGAAAGCCAGGGGAGCGAACCGG
rnacentral:rRNA from 1 species